GGGGUUUCACCUUGUUGAUGAGGAUGGUCUCAAUCUCUUGACCUUGUGAUCUGCCCGCCUCGGCCUCCCAAAGUGCUGGGAUUGUAGGCGUGAGCCACCGCGCCCAGCCCUCUUUUUUAUCAGGUACUUCGCAACUCACUUAUGGUGAAUACUGGGGAUGUAGUUUGCUUGUACAUAAAUUUCCUACCAAAAAUGUAUGAGUUUUGCACAAUUUGGCAUUUUUUAAUUUAAAUAGCUGAAUUAUCUGAAACUUUACAUUUUAUUUGUGAAAUCCUAGAAGGCAGAAAAAAAUAUCUUCACAUAUCUAUGCUUUAAGAUACCAACACUUACCUGGCAUAUGGCAGGGCGCAACACAUAUUUAAUAACUAAAUGAAAAGAACACAAAAUAUCACAUAUCUUUACAGCAGUAAUUUGAGAUAUAAUUAUCGUAUUUGAGAUCUGUGUGAUUUUCUGUUUUUUUUUUUUUUUUUGAGAUGGAGUUUUGCUCUGUUGCCCAGCCUAAAGUGCAGUGGAGUGGUGCAAUCUCAGCUCAUUGCAACCUCUGCCUCCCCAACAGGUGAUUCUCCUUUCUCAGCCUUCCAAGUAGCUGGGAUUACAGGAGAUGAUGCACUUACCCCAGUCAUUGUGAAAUACGACUGCAUUUGUGUUGACCUAUCAGUUUAUGGCCCCAGUGGCUUCAGCCCCAGAAUAAAAACUACCCAACAGCAGAAGAAUCUUUCUUGUGAACCAGUAUGUACUUUGUCACAGGAAAUAUUUUCACAGAAAUAAGAUGACCCAUUAAAAGACAAAUAAUGAUGAGAUAAUUGCAUUGGCUGGAAAAGGACUUGUGAAUUCUACACUUGGAAGUAGACCACAUAGUGGUUAAUAGCUUUGCCUCCGCAGUCAAACACACUGGAAUGGGAUUUCAACAUUUUACUACAAAGUCCCAAAUUUCUGAAGGACAUAGAAAUUAAUGUCUAAACAAUGCUUACACUUUAUUCCCAUUGUCAAUAACAUUAUUUCAAAAUGAUAACAUUAAUAUUUUGUUAUUUAGACCUCAAUAAAACACAAGAACACUCGCA
rnacentral:lncRNA from 13 species